AGAGGGUGCGAGCGUUGUCCGGAAUUACUGGGCGUAAAGCGCGGGCAGGCGGUCUGUUAAGUCGUUUGUGAAAAUCCGGGGCUCAACCCCGGAAAUGCAUGCGAUGCUGGCAGGCUGGAGACUGGUAGAGGCUAGCGGAAUUCCUGGUGUAGCGGUGGAAUGCGUAGAUAUCAGGAAGAACACCUGUGGCGAAGGCGGCUAGCUGGGCCAGUUCUGACGCUCAUCCGCGAAAGCGUGGGGAGCAAACAGGAUUAGAUACCCUGGUAGUCCACGCCGUAAACGAUGGGCACUAGGUGCCGGGUCUCUAGACGGAUUCGGUGCCGCAGUUAACGCAUUAAGUGCCCCGCCUGGGGAGUACGGUCGCAAGGCUG
rnacentral:rRNA from 1 species